ensembl:lncRNA
GGAGGUGCCCCGGAUGGAAACGGCAGACCAUGGAAGUGGGAUGUGGAAGGUGGGAGAUGGAUGUGGAAGGGCCCAUCUCCCUCCUUGACUCCUCCCCUCUGUCUCUGCUUCCUGGCCCCCGGAAAUGAGCAACUUUCUUCCUCCCAGACUCUUUCCACUGUGCCGUUUUCCCCUUGGAGCUGACCAACCAUGGACUGAAAGUGUGAGCCAAGAUAAACCUCUCCACCUUUAAAUUGUGGGUGUUGGGUACUGUGCCCCAGUGACAAGAAAGUGACCAAGACACACAUGGUUACACACUGCUAUGUACUAAGAAGGAGAGAUCCGGAUACCAGACAGUGCAGACUCCUGUGCCGGACAGGGAGACUGCAUGAAUUUUUCACCUCCAACUUUGAUCAAGGAAAUGAACCCAAGGCCCUAUAUGCUAGGCAAGUACUCUACGACUGAGACAGAGGUUGAUAUUUUUUAUCAUCGCUCUGGGUGGGUAAAAAGGUUUACAAUAUAGAACUACGAAAAGGAUAGAAGGAGGACUCUUGUCCAUUAAAAGUUUUUCUAUAAUUCAGAGCUGAAGAAAUGAAUCAGUGCCAUUGUUUUGCUGAAGGUCAAUACCAGAUAAUUCACAAAAAGAAAGAACACCCAGGAAAUCACAGGACAAGAUGCAAUUUCAGGUAUCCAGCUCAGCACCCAAACUAGUCACCAUUUAACUCUGGAAGCAAAGACCAGAAUGAACCCUCAUACAUUGUGCCAGUGCGGAUGAGCUUGGUAUCAUUCAUCUUUCUCAGAAAUAAUAAAAAUCCCAAUGCUAUGAGGAGCUAACUGUGCAAAGUUAUUUCUCCAUUUAUAACAGGAGUAUGAGAAGGAUUCAUAAUUCACCUGAUUUUGGAUGCACCCUCUGCCAAGACUAGAUUAUUCUGGGAAGAGAUCACAGUUGAAAACAAUGGUAAAAACUUCUUUAGUUUUAAAAUUAUGCUUAAUGCCAGAAAUGAGCCACACACAGGAUGAGUCGUCUGACUAUGGCUAGA